rnacentral:rRNA from 1 species
UACGAAGGGGGCAAGCGUUGUUCGGAAUUACUGGGCGUAAAGGGCGCGUAGGCGGUGCGUUAAGUUAGGCGUGAAAGCCCUGGGCUCAACCCGGGAACUGCGCUUGAUACUGGCGCGCUUGAAUCCAGGAGAGGUUGGUGGAAUUCCCAGUGUAGAGGUGAAAUUCGUAGAGAUUGGGAAGAACACCGGUGGCGAAGGCGGCUCACUGGCUCAUUACUGACGCUCAGGCGCGAUAGCGUGGGGAUCAAACAGG